rnacentral:tRNA from 1 species
GGAGGUAUAGCUUAGUGGUAGAGUGCCUGCUUAGCAUGCACAAGGUCCUGGGUUCAACCCCUAGUACCGCCA